CCAGACUCCUACGGGAGGCAGCAGUGAGGAAUAUUGGUCAAUGGGCUUACGCCUGAACCAGCCAAGUCGCGUGAGGGAAGACUGCCCUAUGGAUUGUAAACCUCUUUUGUCGGGGAGCAAAAGACGCCACGUGUGGCGUUCCGAGAGUACCCGAAGAAAAAGCAUCGGCUAACUCCGUGCCAGCAGCCGCGGUAAUACGGAGGAUGCGAGCGUUAUCCGGAUUUAUUGGGUUUAAAGGGUGCGUAGGCGGACGCUUAAGUCAGCGGUAAAAUUGCGGGGCUCACCCUCGUCGAGCCGUUGAAACUGGGUGCCUUGAGUGGGCGAGAAGUACGCGGAAUGCGUGGUGUAGCGGUGAAAUGCAUAGAUAUCACGCAGAACUCCGAUUGCGAAGGCAGCGUACCGGCGCCCAACUGACGCUGAAGCACGAAGGCGUGGGUAUCGAACAGGAUUAGAUACCCCUGUA
rnacentral:rRNA from 1 species